GCCCCCGUUGUCUAAUGGUUAUGACGUCAGACUUCUACGCAAAAUUUCAUGAUCUGGAGGUUGCGGGUUCGAAUCCCGCCGGGGGUU
rfam:Gymnopus luxurians FD-317 M1 unplaced genomic scaffold GYMLTscaffold_71, whole genome shotgun sequence.